rnacentral:misc_RNA from 1 species
UUUCCGUAGGUGAACCUGAGGAAGGAUCAUUGUUGUGACCCUGACCAAAACAUACCGCGCACGCGUCAUCAAAUCCACCGGAGACGGCAGCGUCCGUUGCUCGGCCGCCUCCGCUCCUCGGAGUGGGGGCUCGGGGUAAAAGAACCCACGACGUCGAAGGCGUCAAGGAACACUGUGCCUAACCCGGGGGCAUGGCUAGCUUGCUUGUCGUCCCCUGUGUUGCAAAGCUAUUUAAUCCACAUGACUCUCGGCAACGGAUAUCUCGGCUCUC